CCAACGGCUCUUUUAAGAGCCACCACAAUUUCCUAAGAGCAAAACC
rfam:Orchesella cincta Ocin01_Sc3628, whole genome shotgun sequence.